rnacentral:rRNA from 1 species
UACGGGGGGGGCAAGCGUUGUUCGGAAUUACUGGGCGUAAAGGGCUUGUAGGUGGCCAACUAAGUCAGACGUGAAAUCCCUCGGCUUAACCGGGGAACUGCGUCUGAUACUGGAUGGCUUGAGUGUGGGAGAGGGAUGCGGAAUUCCAGGUGUAGCGGUGAAAUGCGUAGAUAUUCGGAGGAACACCAGUGGCGAAAGCGACUUUCUGGGACAUUCCUGACGCUGAGGUUCGAAAGCUCGGGGAGCAAACAGG